GUGGGGAAUAUUCCGCAAUGGACGAAAGUCUGACGGAGCAACGCCGCGUGAGUGAUGAAGGUUUUCGGACUGUAAAGCUCUGUUGUUUAGGACGAAAGUGCCUGUUGCGAAUAGUUACAGGUAUUGACGGUACUGAACGAGGAAGCCACGGCUAACUACGUGCCAGCAGCCGCGGUAAUACGUAGGUGGCAAGCGUUGUCCGGAAUUAUUGGGCGUAAAGAGCAUGUAGGCGGGAAUCUAAGUCUGUUGUGAAAAUGCGGGGCUCAACCCCGUAUUGCGAUGGAAACUGGGUUUCUUGAGUGCAGGAGAGGAAAGGGGAAUUCCCAGUGUAGCGGUGAAAUGCGUAGAUAUUGGGAGGAACACCAGUGGCGAAGGCGCCUUUCUGGACUGUGUCUGACGCUGAGAUGCGAAAGCCAGGGUAGCGAACGGGAUUAGAAACCCCAGUAGUCC
rnacentral:rRNA from 1 species